rnacentral:lncRNA from 1 species
GUAGGUUAGUGGUGCGACAUUUAGGGAAGGCAGAAAGUAGGUCAGGGACGGAGGUGCCUGUUUACCCGCGCCGGACUCACCGCCGCCGCCGCCGCGGGAUCCGAGUGGGGGCGCGGACGCGGGCGCUCCCGCGAGCCACGGUGGUGCUGGCUGGAGUGCACACUUUUGGACCCAAACUUAAGUUUUCAAAUGUGGACUCCUAGAUCUUCACUGGUUUCUAGAAGAUGUUGA